AGAUCCCAACUCAGGAGAGAACACCAGCUGAUUUUAAGCAUAUAAUUAAGCGGAGGAAAAGAAACUUACAAGGAUUCCCCUAGUAACGGCGAGCGAAUCGGGAAGAGCCCAGCAUGAAAAUUGGGUGGCAGCGUCACCUGAAUUAUAGUCUGUAGAAGCGUCCUUAGUGAUGGACCGGGCCCAAGUCCCCUGGAAGGGGGCACCUGAGAGGGUGACAACCCCGUCGGGCUGGGACCCUACCGCACCACGAGGGGUUGUCAGGGAGUCAGGUUGUUUGGGAAUGCAGCCCUAAUCGGGUGCUAAAUUCCGUCCAAGGCUAAAUACGGGUGAGAGAUCGAUAACGAACAAGUACCGCGAGGGAAAUAUGAAAAUGAAUUUGAAAAGAGAGUUAAAGAGUGCUUGAAAUUGCCAGGAGGGAAGCGGAUGGAGACCGACGAUGUGUCUCAGUCGGAUCCGGAACGGCUCAAGCUGGUCUGCCGCUCGACUUGAGGUGUGAACUAGCAUAGGUCGUUGCAUCGGCACAAGCACGGGUGGAGUACUGCCUGUUGGUUUCUGAGUCUGGAACACGGGAGAAACCGCCCAAGUGUGGGGUAUUCAGGGUUUCCGAGUCUCGACAAGCAGAGAAACCACCCAAGUGUGGGGAAUCCGAGGUUUCUGAGUCUGGACCACAGGAGAAAUCGCCCAAGUGUGGGGAAUUCAGGGUUUCCAAGUCUGGACCAUGGGAGGAACCACUCAAGUGUGGGGAAUUCUGGGUUUUUGAGUCUGGACCACGGGAGAACUGCCCAAGUGUGGGGAAUUCAGGGUUUCUGAAGCUGGACCAUGGGAGAAACCACCCAAGUGCAAGGAAUUUGGGGUUUUCGAAGCUGGACCGCGGGAGGAACCGCCCAAGUGUGGGGAAUUCAGGGAUUCCAAGUCUGGACCGCGGGAGAAACUGCCCAAGUGCGGGGAAUUUGGGGUUUUCGAAGCUAGACCGUGGGAGAAACCGCCCAAGUGCGGGGAAUUUGGGGUUUCAGAAGCUAGACCGCGGGAGAAACUGACCAAGUGCGGGGAAUUCAGGGUUUCCGAAGCUAGACCGCGAGAGAAACAGCCCAAGUGUGGGGAAUUCGGGGUUUCUGAGUCUGGACCGCGGG
rnacentral:ncRNA from 1 species